GUGUAAAUCCCUCGCAAACAGCUUGGAAAAACGGACAAAAAAGAAUCUACGCCCUUCUUCAAUUAAGAAAAAGCUCUGUUUUUCUUAACCCGUAACUUCCACUGGGUCUUGGACCCAAGCUGUUUCUUGGCUCGGAAAAAACAAAG